rnacentral:rRNA from 1 species
CAUUUUUUAGAGAUAGAAAUUCCCUUCGGGGCUUUCUGCAAGGUGCUGCAUGGUUGUCGUCAGCUCGUGCCGUGAGGUGUCGGGUUAAGUCCCAUAACGAGCGCAACCCUUAUCGUUAGUUGCCAGCUGGUAAAGCAGGGGACUCUAGCGAAACUGCCACCGUAAGGUGAGAGGAAGGUGGGAUGACGUCAAAUCAGCACGGCCCUUAUGUCCAGGGCUACACACGUGUUACAAUGGCCGGCACAGAGGGCAGCUACCUGGUGACAGGAUGCUAAUCUCGAAAACCGGUCUCAGUUCGGAUCGAAGUCUGCAACUCGACUUCGUGAAGCUGGAUUCGCUAGUAAUCGCGGAUCAGCAUGCCGCGGUGAAUACGUUCCCGGGCCUU